rnacentral:lncRNA from 12 species
UUUUAAUUCAGGAUUUUUUGGACCAAAUUUGACCAAACAUGUCUGGCCUGUUGUGUUUUGGGAUGGAAUUCUAAUCUGAACCUGAAGUUUUCAUGCAGAAAAUCAGAUGAGGACACUGGAAUGAAAUCUUCAAAUUUUGUCAGCUUCAGUACAGUGUGGCAUAAACAUUCCCUGACAAUUUGGAGUUGAGCAAAACCAACCCUUUCUACUAACACCUAUUUCUGGG